rnacentral:tRNA from 1 species
GGAGAGGUGCCAGAGUGGUCGAAUGGACUGGUCUUGAAAACCAGCGCGCCUUCACGGGUGCCGGGGGUUCGAAUCCCUCCCUCUCCGCCA